rnacentral:rRNA from 1 species
CGGAAAGGGAAAGGCUUAGUGGCGGACGGGUGAGUAACGCGUGGGUAACCUGGCCCAUACAGGGGGAUAACACUUAGAAAUAGGUGCUAAUACCGCAUAACAACAGAAAGCGCAUGCGUUUUUGUUUGAAAACCAAGGUGGUAUGGGAUGGACCCGCGUCUGAUUAGCUGGUUGGCGGGGUAAAGGCCCACCAAGGCGACGAUCAGUAGCCGGCCUGAGAGGGUGGACGGCCACAUUGGGACUGAGACACGGCCCAAACUCCUACGGGAGGCAGCAG